rnacentral:rRNA from 1 species
GACGAACGCUGGCGGCGUGCUUAACACAUGCAAGUCGAACGGAAAGGCCCUGCUUUUGUGGGGUGCUCGAGUGGCGAACGGGUGAGUAACACGUGAGUAACCUGCCCUUGACUUUGGGAUAACUUCAGGAAACUGGGGCUAAUACCGGAUAGGAGCUCCUGCUGCAUGGUGGGGGUUGGAAAGUUUCGGCGGUUGGGGAUGGACUCGCGGCUUAUCAGCUUGUUGGUGGGGUAGUGGCUUACCAAGGCUUUGACGGGUAGCCGGCCUGAGAGGGUGACCGGCCACAUUGGGACUGAGAUACGGCCCAGGCUCCUACGGGAGGCAGCAGUGGGGAAUAUUGCACAAUGGGCGGAAGCCUGAUGCAGCAACGCCGCGUGCGGGAUGACGGCCUUCGGGUUGUAAACCGCUUUCGCCUGUGACGAAGCGUGAGUGACGGUAAUGGGUAAAGAAGCACCGGCUAACUACGUGC